UGGGGAAUAUUGGACAAUGGGGGCAACCCUGAUCCAGCCAUGCCGCGUGAGUGAAGAAGGCCCUAGGGUUGUAAAGCUCUUUCAGUCGUGAAGAUAAUGACGGUAACGACAGAAGAAGCCCCGGCUAACUUCGUGCCAGCAGCCGCGGUAAUACGAAGGGGGCGAGCGUUGUUCGGAAUCACUGGGCGUAAAGCGUGCGUAGGCGGUCUUGCAAGUUAGGCGUGAAAUCCCUGGGCUUAACCCAGGAACUGCGCUUAAAACUGCAAAACUUGAAUCCGAGAGAGGUUGGCGGAAUUCCCAGUGUAGAGGUGAAAUUCGUAGAUAUUGGGAGGAACACCAGUGGCGUAGGCGGCCAACUGGCUCGGUAUUGACGCUGAGGCACGAAAGCGUGGGGAGCAAACAGGAUUAGAUACCCCCGUAGUCC
rnacentral:rRNA from 1 species